AUUUAGUAUUUUGGAUACCUCUCUCCUGAAUUGUCAGCUCCAAGUUUCUUCUCUUUCCAUCAUUUCUUUGUAUACUUCAGUGCAGUUGUUAUAACGACAGCUAGGUGUCUCUUCACUUCACUUGGACUGCAGCUGGAGCUGUCAGCACUUAGGGUCCUUCUUACCUCUGCUCAUACUAGUUAACAUUUAAAGUGGAUCAAAAACUCUUACAAAAGUUGUCUUAAACUAAUUCCCAAUAGACAUUCUUGUCUUGGGUGAACUUUGAUGAACUUUUCUGAUCCACUUCAAAUGUUGACUAGUGUAUGUCACGAGUGACAAACAGGCGGAACGGAAAACAGCGGGAGAAGGUUCCGCCCGGACCAACUUCCGCAAACACCGGCACUUCCGGGUAACCCCGGGCGACGCAAAUCAGGGUGAAACACACGCCAGGUGUGCGCGAUGACACGGCGAACGGCCAUUGGAUAAACCGUGUGAGCUGGGAGAAUAAAAGGAGCAUAAGGAAACCAGGAAGUGGUCGAUUGUUGUCGUUGUUGAGAGAGCAGAGAAGCGGCGUUGUGGACCAGGCGGCAACAUUGUGGCGUGGGGACUGAAUGGACAGGCUAAACGUGGUGAAAGGAUACACUGGAAUACCGGGAAGAUCGGCGUUUCGCCAGUAGCAUCAAGGAAGAGGUAACAGCGGUGUUGUUGCAACCCAGACUUACCUGAUGUGUGUGAUGUUUUGUGACCACCGAAGAACUGCAAAGCGAACGGAGCGACCCGGAAGCGGUUGGGAAAAGAGAUCCGACGGAGGUUGUGAGUACACCCAUUGUUUACUUUCCAAAUAAGUCGCUAAAUAGAAACUUACCCCUGUGUGGAAGGAUCUUCUUUCUGUAGUGGCCCCACCGUGGAGGAUCGAAGCCGGUGGGUGUGCCAAGGAAGGACGAGGUACGCACAGAGCUUCAAGGGGGCCGACGAUCUCUAUUCCACUCGCUGUGGCGGUGCUCCAACGACUCCCCCUGGGACAAAGCUGGAUCGAGUGUGGGAGUAUCGGCCUUAUAUUUCACGAAAGAAUGUGUGCUGCUGUGGGUGAGUGUGCUAUUUUGACCUGUGUACACUGGAGUGUUGCAGUGUAGUACUGUGUCUCCUGCCGUUCAUACUUACCCCAGGUCCGGCUGAAGCACCGUGUGUGUGGGCUCGUGGAGUGCAGCAGCAGCGAUACCAACGUGGAUUCACACCAUUAUUCCCCCUCGCCUGUGUGUGCCCCGCCGAAAAGGAAAACUGUGAGUACAGUGAUUGAAAUACUGCAGUAAUAACGGCAUUGAUCCGUAAAGAGAAAAGAAACCCCCUGUUACUUACCUGACUGGUGUUGUUGUGUCUUGGAGGAAAAGCUUGCCAUCCACCUCUGAAACAGGUAUCCCUCAUACCCCCGGACGGGGCGGAGAGUGAGCCUAGUGUCUAGCCGCACGGAAGAAGCCUGUGGUUUCUCCACCCCCGGUGUUCCAUCGACGUAGGACGACGGCCAGGCUCAGUCACUAGGCCAGUAAGACUGGAACCGUGCCAGCUAUCCAGUCUUUUACCCCAGUCAGGAAACGGAGAGAGAAAGACCUCUGAGACACAGGAGAAAGGACCUACUUCCACCAACGAGGCGCUGCUUCGGCUCUGUUCUGUGGUUGAAACCGGACUCCAAAGGGAAAGGCUCCCUAACCACAGGUGACCGCUGGACUUCUCUCUAAUAAUUGUGUGUUCUUUUUGCCUCCAGGAGCCGAGGAGGGCGCCACGUGUGCACUAAAAAGAAAGGAAGCCACGAUCAGAACUAAAAGAGGAGAAAAUACUUACCGAGGACGAAGGAGCUCCGUCCUCUUCCCUUGGCCCCCCUCUCUCCCCCUGCAAAGAACAUGCCAGACAUGAUUUUAAAUUCCCCUUUCCCCUUCCCAUCUUGAUUUUAAUUAAUUUAAAUAAAGCUUGUUUUAAAUUUCA